AGUGAACGCUGGCGGUAGGCCUAACACAUGCAAGUCGAACGGCAGCACAGGAGAGCUUGCUCUCUGGGUGGCGAGUGGCGGACGGGUGAGGAAUACAUCGGAAUCUACUUUUUCGUGGGGGAUAACGUAGGGAAACUUACGCUAAUACCGCAUACGACCUACGGGUGAAAGCAGGGGAUCUUCGGACCUUGCGCGAUUGAAUGAGCCGAUGUCGGAUUAGCUAGUUGGCGGGGUAAAGGCCCACCAAGGCGACGAUCCGUAGCUGGUCUGAGAGGAUGAUCAGCCACACUGGAACUGGGACACGGUCCAGACUCCUACGGGAGGCAGCAGUGGGGAAUAUUGGACAAUGGGCGCAAGCCUGAUCCAGCCAUACCGCGUGGGUGAAGAAGGCCUUCGGGUUGUAAGGCCCUUUUGUUGGGAAAGAAAUCCAGCUGGUUAAUACCCGGUUGGGAUGGCGGUACCCAAAGAAUAAGCACCGGCUAACUUCGUGCCAGCAGCCGCCGUAA
rnacentral:rRNA from 1 species